rnacentral:rRNA from 1 species
UACGUAGGAUGCAAGCGUUGUCCGGAAUUAUUGGGCGUAAAGAGCGCGCAGGCGGUAUGACAAGUCAGAUGUGAAAGAGGCCGGCUUAACCGGCAAGGGUCAUUUGAAACUGUCAGACUAGAGUGCAGCAGAGGAUAGUGGAAUUCCUGGUGUAGCGGUGGAAUGCGCAGAUAUCAGGAGGAACACCGAUGGCGAAGGCAGAUCUCUGGGCCGUAACUGACGCUGAGGAGCGAAAGCAUGGGGAGCGAACAGG